AGAAAAGAAAAGAAAGGACAAACGAGAGAGAGAAACACAAACAUCAAAUCUGAGUGGUUAGAAGAUUUGGUGGUGUAGGACAGGAGCCAAACCUGCCGCAGAGGCCCUGUGUGUCUGGCGCCUGCCGUGAAGGAGGACAUUUAGAGAGGAUGAUUUCCAAGCUACAGUGUGGCCAACACAGAGUUUAUAAAAAGAAGGGCAGCACUGUCAAGCCCGGUUUAGAAUACAACAAUGAAGGCACUGAAGAGCUGGAGGAGCAGCUCACAAAGUGUGGAAAAACUGCAACUGAGAAUAGCAAAAGAGAAUGAGGGACUUCUGAGCCAAGUCAGAUCAAACAGCGUUUGAGGAUGGGUGAGCAUUUGGUACACUUCAAAGGCAUGACAAGAGCUCUUCUCCCCACCUCCAGCCCCAAAUGCAUAACUAAUAU